rnacentral:rRNA from 1 species
UACGAAGGGGGCUAGCGUUGUUCGGAAUCACUGGGCGUAAAGCGUAUGUAGGCGGAUUGUUAAGUCAGGGGUGAAAUCCCGAGGCUCAACCUCGGAACUGCCUUUGAUACUGGCUUUCUUGAGUUCGGGAGAGGUGAGUGGAACUCCUAGUGUAGAGGUGAAAUUCGUAGAUAUUAGGAAGAACACCAGUGGCGAAGGCGGCUCACUGGCCCGAUACUGACGCUGAUGUACGAAAGCGUGGGGAGCAAACAGGAUUAGAUACCCUGGUAGUCCACGCCGUAAACGAUGGGUGCUAGCCGUCGGCUUGCUUGCAAGUCGGUGGCGCAGCUAACGCAUUAAGCACCCCGCCUGGGGAGUACGGUCGCAAGAUUAAA